AUAUAUAUAUAUAUAUAUAUAUAUAUAUAUAUAACAUAAAACAUUACAUAUACAAAAGAAGAAAAAGAAGAUAAAGGAGAUGAAAAAGAGGAAGAAAAAGAAGAAGAAGAAGAAAUUAAAAGUCGAGGCACUCAAAUCUCAGUUCCCUCCUGACUAUUUGUAUCAUAAUUAAUGAAAAUUAAAAUUAAAAAAAAAAAAAAAAAAGAUAAAAAAUAAAAAUAAGUAAACGAAUAAAAAAGUAAAAACCAUAGAAAUAAAAUAAAAGUGAAAGUUGAGUACGAAGCUAAAAGAUCGCAUAAAGUCUACGAAGUUUCUAAAAGAAUGAAAAAUACUACUAUCCAUUAAUACUACUAAUUACUACUACUAUUACUAUUACAACAACAACAACAACAACAAUAACAAUAACAACAACUACAACAAUAACAACAACUACAACAAGAAACAAUAAUAACAUGAGGAAGAAAAAGAAAUCAAUUGUGACUAUUAUCUAUGACAACGCUAUUAAAUGCGAAUUAUUAAAAUGAUAAGGAUAAUACACGAGGAAAAAAAAAAUAAUAAAUAAAUAAAUAAAUAAAUAAAAUAACAGAUUAUACAAUUAAUAGCGAGCGAGAAAGCAUACCACGCCUACAGUAAAAUAAAAAUAAAAAUAAAAAUAAAAAUAAAAAUAAAACCACGUGUAGCAUACACGAUAAUACUAUUAUUAUCAAAAUAGUUCAAUGUAAAUUGUUAUUUUUGUUGAAAUAAAAAUCACCUCCGUUAUAACGAUGAACAUAACCUUGUUGGCCUUUAAUUUUCGAUCAUCCAUGUUUUAAAUAGAAUUUAUACGUGUGUAUAUAUAUAUAUAUAUAUAUAUAUAUAGGAUUAGUUUCAAUAAUUUUACGCGCGAAUAUUCAAAAUUUACAUUACGACAAAUUACGCGCGAAAUUUAAAACUCCGAGAAAUCUCAGUUCGAAAAUAAUAAUUGAUAUUUAUACUCUUCAAAUAAUAAAUAAUACUUUCGAUAUAAAUUAAAAUUUAAACGCAUAAAAUAUAAAUUUUCUUCGAUAAGACUUGAUUUUAUGAUCGUUCUAUUUAUCGGUUUAAUAUUAAAACAAUUUGUAUAUAGUAAUUUCGCAUAUUUUCAAUUAUUAUAUUUUAUAUAAAUAAAUGCGUAUCACAAAUAUACACAUAAAAAAAUGCAGAACAUAACAUAUUAUAUAAUUAGUUAUUAAAUACUAUAUAAUUAUUUAUUUCAGACAUAAGUGUGCGUAAUUGCAUUUCUUGCUAUUAUAGUUGUACAGUAAAAAAUAUAAUAUUAUUAUAAAAAAAUUCAUGGUUUAAUGUCAAAGUUUUCGAGAUAACAUUUUUCUGAACGAAUUACAAAAGUCUAAUUUUCUUUCUUAAAUUGUAUAUUUUUACAAAAAAAUUACACGUCUACAUUGCAUUGCAUAGGAUAAAUAUACACAUAUAUAUAUAAAUAUAUAUACACACAUAUAUAUAUAUAUAUGUACGUAUGUAUAUAUGUAAUUUUUUAUUUUUUUAUUUUUCAUUUUAAAUAAGGCACAAAAUACUUCUACUCCAUAGUAUAAAUUUGAAUAGAAAGAAUUAUAUGAAAAUAAUUGAUAGAACAAUAAUGUUGUUUAUAUGAUAAAAGUUAUUCUUUCAUUUGUUUUUCUUUUGUUUCUGUGCGACAAUGAAAAGUGUAAUUAUCCUGAUAUAUAAGCUAUAACUUAAUUAUGACUUUUUUAUUUUUGGUUCAGGUAUAGAUAUUACCAUGUCAAUUUAUAUAUAUAUAUAUAAUACUAGUAAUUAAAAUUAUUAUGAUUACUUAAUUACGUAUAUAUGUAUUAUUAUUAUUAUUUAUAAAAAAAAGAAUUUUCAUCUGUUACAUGUGCGUAAUAAAAGAAAAAAUUUUUUUUUAAUUCAGGUACAUCAGGUAACAGACAAAUCGGAAGCCAAUGAAAUAAAAAAUAUAUAUAUAUAAUUUUGAAAUGCCUAGCUACAUACAACUAUUAUAUAAUCCAGAAAAAGGUAUAGGUAAUUACUUAUUUCUUUAAAGUAUAGUAAAAUUAAAAAAUUUAAGCAAAAUAUUCUUAUUGAUAAUAUAAUUAAAUUAUAGAGAUAAAUGCAUAUAUAUACAUAUAUAUAUAUAUAUAUAUAUGCAUUUAUAUACAUAUUAUAUGUGUAUUAUCAUGUUUUGUUAAACUAAAUUAAUUCAGUUGCAUAUAAAUCAACAAAACAUGGAUUAUAAAAAGAAAGAAAAAAAAAAUGAAAAGAAAUAAUACUGCUCCUCUUAUUCUAUAUAUAAUUGUUUUUCAUAUUUUCAUAUGGUAUAAUAGAUCAAAUUAAUAAUUUACUUUUUUAUAGCAGUUUGUUACACAAAAUGUACUUUUGUGUGUGUAAAAAUUCAAGAGUAAUAAUAUGCUUGUACGAGCGAUAUAUAAACAGAAGAGGUAGCGCUCUCACAUGUGCAAUACGCAAAAUUGAUUGUAGAGAGAUAAAUAAUACAUUAACUUCACCACAGGAAACGCAAUAAGAAAUUUGUAAUGAUAGUAAGUGAUUACUUGUUUCACAAUGCUCAUCAUAAUAACAUUGUAUAUCACAGUAGAUCUUAUAAUUGUGUGUGUUCAUCUUAAAUGAUAUUUUAUAUAUAUAUAUAUCCAUAAUACAGGAAGUCAUUAAAGCAAAUUAAUUUUGUUCAUAAAUAUGUUUGUGCUUCUCAUGUCGUAAUCGAUCAUCUUCAAACUUGAACAAUUUAUAAUAGUUUCAUUAUAAAAUAUUUCUCGCAUAAAAUUCCGUAUAAAAAGGAAUUUUUUUUUCUUUUUUCUUUUUCCCCUACGCAAUAUAUGCACUUUGUACUGAUUCUUGAUUAGUCACAUUUUUUGAACAAUUUUAAUUGAGAUAUUACAAUAGUCGUUUUAUAUAUAUAUAUAUAUAUUUACUUAUUUAUAUAUAUAUAAAAGGCAUUAUUCUAUUUUUAUAAUUUUUCAUAAUAAGAGGGAUAUAAAAUAUUCCACAAAAUAGCUGCCGUCAUAAGUACUGUGUAUGUAACAAUACUGGCCCACCAAACGACUUUUUCCCAAGUUUUUACUUCCAGAUUACGAAGGACAUUUAUACCAACAAGAAGUCCAGCUACAGCUCCAGCCAAAUGAGCUACAUAACCAAUCUGAUUGUUGGAUUCUACUACAACGUAACGACUAUAUAUUGCUUGACCUACGUCAACUGUAGUUACAACUAGGAACACUAAUAAUUGAAGGACAGCGAAUUCCAUUUCUGACCAAUUCAUCAGUAUCGUUGCUACAUGUGCGGUAAUUAAUGCAUACACACCACCGGAUGCUCCUGCUAAAUAAACAGUAGGAUCUGAAACCGAAGUUCCAAGAGAUCCAGCUAUCACUCCUGCUAUGUAUAUAAUUAAUACUCUCCACCAUUUAUGAACCAUUUCCAAAGGUAUGCCUAGCAUAAUUUGCACCAAUAAGUUAACGACCAAAUGUAGAACUCUGUAUGAUAAAAUAAUGAUCUCUUUUUAAAAUCUCUUUUAUAAAUAGGAAAAUUAAUCGAUCAACAUUAAUAAUAAACUUACCCGAUAUGAACAAACAUAUAUGUCAAAUACCUCCAUGCUUGGUAUCUUUUGUGAGGAUCAUAAAUAAAUAAAGUUGCUGCUGGUCCAUCCAUGGAAAGAGACUUAUGUUCAACUACAUCGUAUAAAAAUAAAAUAAUCUCUAAUAUCGAUAUGAUUAUCAUUGCCACAGCAGGUGGUCUACAACUAUAUUCUUCUUCGUAUUGACCAUCAGGGAUAUCACUAGAAGUUUGUGUAGAAUAUUGUACAGCGAUUGGUCUUUGAGGCACCAUUGAAUGUACAUAACGUUGUACAAGAUGACCAAAUACUCCUUGCAUAUCUUUCCUAUGUAUCUAAAAAUAAAGAUCUAUAAUGAUAUUCUAUUUAAUAGGAUUAUAUUUCUAAUUAAUAAAAACAUACCAUAGCUAUAAAUUCUGGAUAUUCUAAAUAUCCAGAAUCAUCUAAAUCAGCUUUACGCAUUAUUAUACGAACAACAUUAGCAGGAAUAUCGUUGGAAUAUGCAGAAGCUCGUAUCAUAGCCUUCAAUUCUUGAUAAGAGAUCUUUCCAUCUUCAUCUAGGUCAUAUUUUUCAAAAAUAGAUUUCCAAUGCUGAAAAGAUUCAAUCCACAGAUAUAUAAAACAAUUAAUAGAAAUAUUCUAACUAGCAUGCAUAAGUUCUUACAGUAUCAUUAUAUUGUAAAGGAAUAGUUAUUCCAGUCUCUCCUUCUUGAUUAGUCGUCAUCCUGAUCAGUUUGAAACUUCUAAAACAAAUAGAAAAGAAAACAAAAAAAAAAAAAAAAAAAAAAAAAAAAAAAAAAAAAAUAACAAAUAAACAAACAAACAAAUAAAAUAAAUAAAUAUAAAAAGAAAAAGGAGAAAGAAAAACUUAAUAUAUAAUAUCACUCGAGUAACAAAACUAUUUUAUAAAAUUGAUUCAACGUAAGCUCAAAUAAUAAUCUAAAGAGUAAAGUCAUUGCUCUUUACCAAAAUUAAUUACCGGUGUCACCAAUCUCUAUUACAAUUAAAAGAAUAUCCCAUGAAAAGUGAUUCGACAAAUAUUUUUAAGUCAAAGAAAAAUUCCUUUCGCUUUGAAUCUUCGAUGAGGAAAUUUAAUAGAAGGAAAUAAGCAAAAAAAAAAGGGGAGAAAAGAUGAGAGGACAAAAUUGAUAAACAAUUCCUUAUUUUGAGACAAAUUAAAAUUAAAAGAAAAAGAAAAAGAAAAAGAAAAAACAGAUACCUAUAGAUUUGUAUGAGCUCAGGUGAGUGAAUGUUCUUCAGAUACGACUCAUCGAUGUCAGAGUAAACUCAAACGAUAGAUAGCUAUGAUAUCACACAAAGUAAUAUUGUAUAUUUCUAAUCUAUCUCUUAUCGCUUUCAUAGAGAAAUGUGUUAUGAGUACACAGAACAAGUACGAUGACGACGAUGACCACAAAGACUACUACGACGACGACAAUGACAACAUAAACGACGAGAGUAAAUGUGACAAUAUGAUUUCAUCAAAAAACCACGAUCCCGUGAACGCGUUUAAGAAUCCAUGAAGAAUAAAAUAAUUACCUUUACAGUUGUGUCACUGACCCCUGUCUGUGUUGUACGGAUGAAACAAAAUGUUCAAAUAAGUUUCAUUCAUUCAUCUUUCACUAAUUUGCUACAACAACAAUAACAACAACAACAACAACUGCAUCGAUUCUCUUACUAUGUGUCACAGAGUGGACGACUAUUAUUCGACUUGGCCUUCGCCAGGUGUGCCUAACAAUAACUCCCAUCAUUUCGUAUUUCAUAGAUAGAGGUCAAGAAGUUGAGACUCUAUAACUGUUAAACAUUACGUAACAUGUACCUUAUGUGUUUGUGUGUGUGUGUGUAUUUAUAUAUAUAUAUAUGUGUGUGUGUAUAUAUAUAAAAAAAGAAAAAAAGAAGCAUGCUUAUUUUCAAUUAAUAUAAACACAGGAAGAUUGUUUGAAGCAUAGGUGUAUAUAAUAUCGUUAGAUAGGUAAACUCACGAUUUAUUUUAGUCCGCGCUUUCUAGUUUAGAGGGAGUAAAUAACGAUGACAGUUAGAAACAAAAAAAAAAAAAAAGAAAAGAAAAAAGAUAAAAAACCCGGCA